rnacentral:rRNA from 1 species
CAGUAGCCGCGGGAAUACGUAGGGUGCGAGCGUUAAUCGGAAUUACUGGGCGUAAAGCGUGCGCAGGCGGUUCGUUAAGACAGAUGUGAAAUCCCCGGGCUCAACCUGGGACCUGCAUUUGUGACUGUAUAGCUAGAGUACGGUAGAGGGGGAUGGAAUUCCGCGUGUAGCAGUGAAAUGCGUAGAUAUGCGGAGGAACACCGAUGGCGAAGGCAAUCCCCUGGACCUGUACUGACGCUCAUGCACGAAAGCGUGGGGAGCAAACAGGAUUAGAUACCCCGGUAGUCCCUGUCUCUUAUAC